rnacentral:rRNA from 1 species
UACUACCCUCCGGGUGGGGAAGUAACUCUUCGAAAGGAGAGCUAAUGCCGACAUGUGCAGCACUUUCGCAAGUAGGUGCUGGAAAGCCGUACCGUGGGUGCGGCGCCCAAGGAUGAGCUCACGUCCUAUCAGCUUGUUGGCGGGGUAACGGCCCACCAAGGCUCCGACGGGUAGCUGGUCUGAGAGGACGACCAGCCACACUGGCACUGCGACACGGGCCAG